UACGUACGAGGCGAGCGUUAUCCGGAAUUAUUGGGCGUAAAGGGCGCGUAGGCGGCCAUGCGUGUCUUCCGUGAAAUCCCUCGGCUUAACUGAGGACGUGCGGAAGAAACUGCAAGGCUCGAGUCCGGGAGAGGAGGGUGGAAUUCCCAGUGUAGCGGUGAAAUGCGUAGAUAUUGGGAGGAACACCGGUGGCGAAGGCGGCCCUCUGGACCGGUACUGACGCUGAUGCGCGAAAGCGUGGGUAGCAAACGGG
rnacentral:rRNA from 1 species